UACGAAGGGGGCUAGCGUUGUUCGGAAUCACUGGGCGUAAAGGGCGCGUAGGCGGCUUUAUAAGUCGGGGGUGAAAGCCUGUGGCUCAACCACAGAAUUGCCUUCGAUACUGUAGAGCUUGAGACCGGAAGAGGUAAGUGGAACUGCGAGUGUAGAGGUGAAAUUCGCAGAUAUUCGCAAGAACACCAGUGGCGAAGGCGGCUUACUGGUCCGGUUCUGACGCUGAGGCGCGAAAAGCGUGGGGAGCAAACAGG
rnacentral:rRNA from 1 species